CGGACGGGUGAGUAACGCGUGGAAAACCUGCCGUAUACUGGGGGAUAACACUUAGAAAUAGGUGCUAAUACCGCAUAAGCGCACAGCUUCGCAUGAAGCGGUGUGAAAAACUCUGGUGGUAUACGAUGGUUCCGCGUCUGAUUAGCUAGUUGGUGGGGUAAUGGCCUACCAAGGCAACGAUCAGUAGCCGGCCUGAGAGGAUGAACGGCCACAUUGGGACUGAGACACGGCCCAAACUCCUACGGAAGGCAGCAG
rnacentral:rRNA from 1 species